ensembl:lncRNA
GGCGGGCCCGCGCGGCACCUGCAGAGCGCCUCCCCUGAGCGAGUCCUCCCGGCCCGCGCGCCGCCCCUGGCCGUGCCCUAAAUCCCUCUCCUCGGACACGGAGCGACCCCAGGGCAGUCCGUGUUCGCCUUUGUCGGCAGCCCUGCACAGAGCUCACGUUGUCUACAAAAUUGCCAGUUCGGGGGUUCUUUGAGUCCCAGUACACAACUUAGGGAAACUUGGUGUUGCAGUGGAACGUGGCCUUCGCCCCCUCUUUCGUGGGUGUGUUUCCUGUGGCGUACGGAGGGGCUAUUCAUUUACGGUCUUGGUGUCCGAAAUUUCAGCUGCUUCCGGCGAUCGUGCCAGGUUGCAGUGGCCGUGGCACGCCGCCAGAAGACGAUCGUCCGGGUCCGGGACAUCCCUCCCCCCGCUAGCGUCCCGAUCGCGCAGCUCUUGCUGCGGCCGCACCCGCGCGUCCGGGCCGGCGGCGAGCGGCAGACAAAGGCCUGCCGUCGGGGCCUCGGUCUCAGCGUCGGGAGACAGACGACGACAGUACGCGAUAGGUCAGAUGGAGCUCAUGGAGCAACCACGCGGGGCAGCGGGGGCGGGGCGGGAGGCUGCGGGUUAAGCAGGGCGACCAGAGAGGCCGCAGGAGACCAGGGGCCAGCGGUGCGGACGCCUGGGGGUCGUGCCGGGAGGCAGGAUGGACUCCGGGAAGGACGGGAGGCUCUGGGGCUACGAGCGGAGGGCGUCAUGGCUGACUUGGGCUUUAACGGGCCGCUGUGGCUGCCCUGCUGAGAGCAGACUGUAGGGAUCCGAGCGUCAAAUCGGAAUCCCAGUGAGGGGGUCAGUGGGUCAUUCAGGCAAAGGGAUGAGGGCCGAGUGGUCGUGGAUGUGGGGGUCGGAGGAGAGCAGCUGAGACCGGUCAGAUUUCAGAGAGAAGCCUGUGGAAGUUACGGGCCCUGGGACUCAGAGAUGAAGCAGAUGCAGCGGGAGAGACAAGAGACCUGGGACCGGCUGCCCUCGGUGUUUUGCGCGCCAGGGGAGAAGGGUUUCCCGGCCCCGAGACGGCACGUGCUCAGAGGGAGCAGCGCGCGGUGCAGGCCGCCGGGGGGUGGCCGUGCACUCGUGGAGCAGGUCCAAGGCAGCUGCACCUGCGGGCCUGGAGCGCACGGGGAAGUCGGGGCCUGGAGGAGCAGUCGCUGUGGAGUGGACGGCCGGACCCGUUUUGAGAGGAUUCGAGAGAAAGUGAGACGAGAAUCGGAGGCACUGAGUAACAACCCUUUGUUGUGGAGAGGAUCAAAGAAAUGAGGCUGUAAUCUCCUUUUUUUACCUGUAGAUAUAGCCAGUCUGCCCCUAAGCAGCUGAAAAACUGAGUUAGGUAUCAGACUCUGUUAUAUGCAAUUGCUUUUUUUCUUUUUUCCCCAAUCCCCCGGUACAUAGUUGUAUAUUCUAGUUGUGGGUCCUUCUAAUUCUGGUGUGUGAGAUGCCACCUCAGCAUAGCCUGAUGAGCGGUGUGGUGUCUGUGCCCAGGAUCCCAACCUGUGAAACCCUGGGCCACUGAAGCUGAGCAUGUGAAUUUAGCCACUUGGCCAUGGGGUAGCCCCUGCAAUUGCUUUAAUGUGUGUUAAAGAUAA